rnacentral:lncRNA from 1 species
AGCUAACAGCGGGCCAGGGAGCAUGGGGCCGGGGAGCACCCUCCGCUGCCCCGGACAUUCUUGCUGGGUGUGUCUGAGACUGUUUGAAGCCAUCGCCUUAUGGACACUCUUGACCUGUGGGAAACCCCAAGGUCUCCCAAUCUCGUAGAAAGGGCACGACUGGUCUCCCGCACAGCUCGCCUGCAGUCCCGGUCAGCGCUAAGUGUCACACGCACCGGACGCUCGGCCUCCCGCCCCUCGGCACCGCAGCCGGGAGCCGGGGACGCCUCGAGCAGAGUGGGGUCAUGACCCCCCACACAGGGGUCAAGGGGCAUGAUGACGGGCUGCAGGUAAAAACCGUGGAGCUCCGCUUUUCUCGAAAUCCUCUCUCCCGGGGCUGAAGAGGCGCUGGAGACGGGGCCAGCGAGUCAGCCGAUAAGAGGCUGUGAACUUCCCUUCCCACUCUGAGCAGCCCGACCAGGCGGUGGAUUUCAUGAGAACAGCUCUCUCCUGAGCAUCUCCAGAUGAUCCCAUGGAAAUGCUGCUAUCACCGUAUCCGGGGUUAGACCAGGUCGUCUUCUGAGAGCCCCUAACCUCUUGCCACUCUGAUAACCAGCAGGGCCGGGAACUGAAUCCAGGUUGGUCCAUUCCAAGCCACCAGCCUUCUCCCCUUCCCAGAAGUCCAGGAGGCAGGGGUCAGAGUGCAGCCUGCACUUCACUUCGCCCUGUGUGGAGCCCAUGACUCAGGCUCCCUGCCCUCCUCAGCCUCUCCUCUGUAAGAAGCGGGCCAGUAACAGCCCCCUCCCGGGGUUUAUGACCAAACGCGUCCAACUUUCAGGACAGCACAAGACAUGCUGGCUGCCAUGGCCACGGUGCUUCCUGCUCCCACGGAUGUGCCGGGUUCUUUCCUCUGAUGAGCCCAAGGUCUAGGUCAGGACUCCACGCAGGGCGCACUCCGCACCAGGUCCACGCUGAGGCACAGCUGCUGUCCCCUGCCCUCUCCACUGUCUGGGUGGAGCCGUGGAAGCCUCACAGGCCUGGCCAGCUGAUGGCCGCUGCCGGGUGAGCCUUGCUGCCGGCUUGGCGUGGGCGUGUGGGGGUCUUUGACCUUCUGCAAGAUGUGCAGCUUUUCACAGAAACGGAGGCCACCUUUGCAAUCUGGAAAAUAUCUAAUUGCCUCUCACAGGUUCGAAAGCAGCCCCCCCACGCCCCCACGGAGGGCAGAGGCCUCCCCAAGCCAGGAGAGCCUCUGAUUGGCCCUGGCAGGGUGGAGAGAGGGUCAGAUGCUGCUCCUGCUGUGGGGUCAGGCGGAGCCCUCGGGAGGGCGGGGGUGGCGGUGUACCACAGAUGAGAUGACUUCGUGCCCCGAUAAGGAAGCACAAAGCCCCCUCGUGCAGAGGAGGCGGCGGGAGGGAGGGGCCUUAGCGCCCCAGCACAGUGCCUGCCUCACUCUCACAGCUGCGUCGAGUCCGCGAAGCCGCUGAUGCCCCGCCACGUGGCACUCCCGGCCAGUUCACGGGCCUUGCUUCAGCUCGAGGCUGAGAGGCCUGGCUCCCUGCUCCCAGCACUUAGCGUCCAAAUUUCUGGUGUCCUGGGAGAAGCCCAGCAUAUCCCCUCUGGUGCCUUCCCAACCGGAGCCACGGGCAGAAGGCGCCGGAGACAAAAAGGGGCCCAGAAGGCGUUUUCAGAUGGAAGGAGAGGGAAAUCUCUUUUCCAUUUCUCUGUGGAGGACCCAAGGAUAAAGCUGAUUCCUGCUCGCCCUCCAGCUCCGGGACGCUCCAACCUGCAAACCACAGCCUGAAAGAGAAACCUCUGCUGCCAGAGGUGCUGAUGGGGAAACGAUUUAGACCUUUGAAAGUUAAGCAAGGGGUUUAUCUUUGGGUCUUAAAUUCGGCAGAAAGGUCAGGAUAGAAAUGAGGUCUCCCCCCAAAUGCAAGUCUGAUCUACCGUUACCGUGCUGGACACGGAAACUCAAGCCGAACAGCCACGUCUGUGCCUUGCGGGCCCCUACACAGGAUCUCAGGAUCGCCUGAUGUGUUAGGAGGUGACUCGGAGUAAAAGCUCUCUUGGGGGACUCAAUCAGGCCUGGGUUUAGAUCCCAGCUUGGCCCCUCUUAUGAUCUGGGCCACUUCUGUGACUCUCUGAGCCUCAGCUUCCUCCUCUGGGAAAUGGGCACACAACCACCCUGAACAGAACCUUUUGAAAGUGACAGGCUCUGACAUGAACAGGGACCCACCCCAGCAAACCAGGGCUGUCUCGGGAGUCAGCACCCAGAAUGCGCUCCAAGAACGCCACCUCGGCUUGGGGCCUCCCGUUCUCAAGCCCAGGUCCUCUCGGACACCCCCUCGCAACUCUGAAGUUUGUUUUGGUGGCCAGUGGCGGAGACAGGGAGGGUGGUUCCUACUCUGACGAGGCAGGUGAGCUGACCCUGGAGCAGAGGCUACCCCGUUUUAUGUCCCUGUUGCGGACGUGAGGUGGGGCACCCCCUUCGGCGACAUCGGAGUGGAGCUGCUGUCGCCAGAGGCAUCCAGGGGGCGUUUUGCAGACCCUCCCUGGCCCCGGCCGCGCCCUGUCUGCAGGGCCCAGCAUCUGAGAACCCCCUUGGAGCUGGCGGCUCGUCGUCGGCCGCCUUCCUCCGGGCACCACGCUGACGUUUCUCCUUCACCAUCUUCGAAGCUGCCCGUCCUUUUCAGGAGAAGAAGGCAACGCCGUGGUCUGACGUUCCAGGAACCCCUGAAGGAGGAAUGCGGAAAAUCCAACGGGCUGGGCCCCAUCCAGCGGGUCCUCCGGGGAGAGAAGGGAUUUCGCAGGCUAAUGGCUGGGCCUCCGACGCUGACAUCUUCUUAUGAUGUACUUAAGUCCGGUUUGUUUUGCUUUCUGUCUCCACAACAAUUACCGAGAUUUAUUUUUUAUUGCUCCGGUUCACUCUGCCAGGACCACACUUCCUUUUCUCUUUAAAGGAACAGCCACCCCGCAUGGAGGGGCCUAGGAAGUGAGCAUUUUCAAUUGCAAAAAUGAAAAUAAACAAGGCUGCACGCCUCUUCUGGA